rnacentral:rRNA from 1 species
UACGAAGGGGGCUAGCGUUGUUCGGAAUUACUGGGCGUAAAGCGCGCGCAGGCGGCCAUUCAAGUCAGGGGUGAAAGCCCAGAGCUCAACUCUGGAACUGCCCUUGAAACUGUAUGGCUUGAGUAUGAGAGAGGUGAGUGGAAUUCCCAGUGUAGAGGUGAAAUUCGUAGAUAUUAGGAAGAACACCGGUGGCGAAGGCGGCUCACUGGCUCAUUACUGACGCUCAGGCGCGACAGCGUGGGGAUCAAACAGG